GGUUAAGCGACUAAGCGUACACGGUGGAUGCCCUGGCAGUCAGAGGCGAUGAAGGACGUGCUAAUCUGCGAAAAGCGUCGGUAAGGUGAUAUGAACCGUUACAGCCGGCGAUGUCCGAAUGGGGAAACCCAGUGCAAUUCGUUGCACUAUCGUUAACUGAAUACAUAGGUUAACGAGGCGAACCGGGGGAACUGAAACAUCUAAGUACCCCGAGGAAAAGAAAUCAACCGAGAUUCCCCCAGUAGCGGCGAGCGAACGGGGAGCAGCCCGGAGUCUGAAUCAGCUUGUGUGUUAGUGGAAGCGUCUGGAAAGUCGCAGGGUACAGGGUGAUACUCCCGUACACUAAAACGCACAGGUUGUGAACUCGAAGAGUAGGGCGGGACACGUGGUAUCCUGUCUGAAUAUGGGGGGACCAUCCUCCAAGGCUAAAUACUCCUGACUGACCGAUAGUGAACCAGUACCGUGAGGGAAAGGCGAAAAGAACCCCGGCGAGGGGAGUGAAAAAGAACCUGAAACCGUGUACGUACAAGCAGUAGGAGCCCACUUGUUGGGUGACUGCGUACCUUUUGUAUAAUGGGUCAGCGACUUAUAUUCUGUAGCAAGGUUAACCGUAUAGGGGAGCCGCAGGGAAACCGAGUCUUAACUGGGCGUUAAGUUGCAGGGUAUAGACCCGAAACCCGGUGAUCUAGCCAUGGGCAGGUUGAAGGUUGGGUAACACUAACUGGAGGACCGAACCGACUAAUGUUGAAAAAUUAGCGGAUGACUUGUGGCUGGGGGUGAAAGGCCAAUCAAACCGGGAGAUAGCUGGUUCUCCCCGAAAGCUAUUUAGGUAGCGCCUCGUGAACUCAUCUUCGGGGGUAGAGCACUGUUUCGGCUAGGGGGUCAUCCCGACUUACCAACCCGAUGCAAACUACGAAUACCGAAGAAUGUUAUCACGGGAGACACACGGCGGGUGCUAACGUCCGUCGUGAAGAGGGAAACAACCCAGACCGCCAGCUAAGGUCCCAAAGUCAUGGUUAAGUGGGAAACGAUGUGGGAAGGCCCAGACAGCCAGGAUGUUGGCUUAGAAGCAGCCAUCAUUUAAAGAAAGCGUAAUAGCUCACUGGUCGAGUCGGCCUGCGCGGAAGAUGUAACGGGGCUAAACCAUGCACCGAAGCUGCGGCAGCGACACUAUGUGUUGUUGGGUAGGGGAGCGUUCUGUAAGCCGUUGAAGGUGGCCUGUGAGGGUUGCUGGAGGUAUCAGAAGUGCGAAUGCUGACAUAAGUAACGAUAAUGCGGGUGAAAAACCCGCACGCCGGAAGACCAAGGGUUCCUGUCCAACGUUAAUCGGGGCAGGGUGAGUCGACCCCUAAGGCGAGGCCGAAAGGCGUAGUCGAUGGGAAACAGGUUAAUAUUCCUGUACUCGGUGUUACUGCGAAGGGGGGACGGAGAAGGCUAUGUUGGCCGGGCGACGGUUGUCCCGGUUUAAGCAUGUAGGCGGAUGUUCCAGGUAAAUCCGGAACGUCACUAACGCUGAGGUGUGAUGACGAGGCACUACGGUGCUGAAGUGACAAAUGCCCUGCUUCCAGGAAAAGCCUCUAAGCAUCAGGUAACAUCAAAUCGUACCCCAAACCGACACAGGUGGUCAGGUAGAGAAUACCAAGGCGCUUGAGAGAACUCGGGUGAAGGAACUAGGCAAAAUGGUGCCGUAACUUCGGGAGAAGGCACGCUGAUGGUAAGUGAAGUGACUUGCUCAUGGAGCUGAAAUCAGUCGAAGAUACCAGCUGGCUGCAACUGUUUAUUAAAAACACAGCACUGUGCAAACACGAAAGUGGACGUAUACGGUGUGACGCCUGCCCGGUGCCGGAAGGUUAAUUGAUGGGGUUAUCCUCGCGGAGAAGCUCUUGAUCGAAGCCCCGGUAAACGGCGGCCGUAACUAUAACGGUCCUAAGGUAGCGAAAUUCCUUGUCGGGUAAGUUCCGACCUGCACGAAUGGCGUAAUGAUGGCCAGGCUGUCUCCACCCGAGACUCAGUGAAAUUGAACUCGCUGUGAAGAUGCAGUGUACCCGCGGCAAGACGGAAAGACCCCGUGAACCUUUACUAUAGCUUGACACUGAACACUGGUCCUUGAUGUGUAGGAUAGGUGGGAGGCUUUGAAGUGUGGACGCCAGUCUGCAUGGAGCCAUCCUUGAAAUACCACCCUUUAAUGGCUGGUGUUCUAACGUGGGCCCGUAAUCCGGGUUGCGGACAGUGUCUGGUGGGUAGUUUGACUGGGGCGGUCUCCUCCUAAAGAGUAACGGAGGAGCACGAAGGUCAGCUAAUCCUGGUCGGACAUCAGGAGGUUAGUGCAAUGGCAUAAGCUGGCUUGACUGCGAGCGUGACGGCGCGAGCAGGUGCGAAAGCAGGUCAUAGUGAUCCGGUGGUUCUGAAUGGAAGGGCCAUCGCUCAACGGAUAAAAGGUACUCCGGGGAUAACAGGCUGAUACCGCCCAAGAGUUCAUAUCGACGGCGGUGUUUGGCACCUCGAUGUCGGCUCAUCACAUCCUGGGGCUGAAGUAGGUCCCAAGGGUAUGGCUGUUCGCCAUUUAAAGUGGUACGCGAGCUGGGUUUAGAACGUCGUGAGACAGUUCGGUCCCUAUCUGCCGUGGGCGCUGGAGAAUUGAGGGGGGCUGCUCCUAGUACGAGAGGACCGGAGUGGACGCAUCACUGGUGUUCGGGUUGUCAUGCCAAUGGCAUUGCCCGGUAGCUAAAUGCGGAAGAGAUAAGUGCUGAAAGCAUCUAAGCACGAAACUUGCCCCGAGAUGAGUUCUCCCUGACUCCUUGAGAGUCCUGAAGGAACGUUGAAGACGACGACGUUGAUAGGCCGGGUGUGUAAGCGCAGCGAUGCGUUGAGCUAACCGGUACUAAUGAACCGUGAGGCUUAACCUU
rnacentral:rRNA from 1 species